UACGUAGGGUGCGAGCGUUGUCCGGAAUUAUUGGGCGUAAAGAGCUCGUAGGCGGUUUGUUGCGUCUAUCGUGAAAACCUGCGGCUUAACUGUGGGCUUGCGGUCGAUACGGGCAGGCUAGAGUUCGGUAGGGGAGACUGGAAUUCCUGGUGUAGCGGUGAAAUGCGCAGAUAUCAGGAGGAACACCGGUGGCGAAGGCGGGUCUCUGGACAGUUCCUGACACUGAGACACGAAGGCCAGGGGAGCAAACGGG
rnacentral:rRNA from 1 species